CAGAGAACAAACUAAAAAAUAAUAAAAUAAAAAGUAAUCAAAUCAAGCCCGGCUGGGGCCAUUCCCGGGGCAGGAAAAUUCCAGAAAGGACAUCCACCUUUAAAGGGGCAUUUCCGUCUGCCACCUCCAAUCCUGGGGAUUUUACCAUCUGAGUGUAGUAAAAUAUGGGGUGAAAUUCUGUUAAAAACCUGCUUAAACCAGUAAAUUAAACAGUUCUCAAAAAAUUAAAAUUAUAGAUGAUUAA